rnacentral:rRNA from 1 species
UCGACGCUUUGUGGUUCACUGAUUUGAAGAGCUUGCUCAGAUAUGACGAUGGACAUUGCAAAGAGUGGCGAACGGGUGAGUAACACGUGGGAAACCUACCUCUUAGCAGGGGAUAACAUUUGGAAACAGAUGCUAAUACCGUAUAACAAUGACAACCGCAUGGUUGUUAUUUAAAAGAUGGUUCUGCUAUCACUAAGAGAUGGUCCCGCGGUGCAUUAGCUAGUUGGUAAGGUAAUGGCUUACCAAGGCGAUGAUGCAUAGCCGAGUUGAGAGACUGAUCGGCCACAAUGGGACUGAGACACGGCCCAUACUCCUACGGGAGGCAGCAGUAGGGAAUCUUCCACAAUGGGCGAAAGCCUGAUGGAGCAACGCCGCGUGUGUGAUGAAGGGUUUCGGCUCGUAAAACACUGUUGUAAGAGAAGAAUGACAUUGAGAGUAACUGUUCAAUGUGUGACGGUAUCUUACCAGAAAGGAACGGCUAAAUACGUGCCAGCAGCCGCGGUAAUACGUAUGUUCCAAGCGUUAUCCGGAUUUAUUGGGCGUAAAGCGAGCGCAGACGGUUAUUUAAGUCUGAAGUGAAAGCCCUCAGCUCAACUGAGGAAUUGCUUUGGAAACUGGAUGACUUGAGUGCAGUAGAGGAAAGUGGAACUCCAUGUGUAGCGGUGAAAUGCGUAGAUAUAUGGAAGAACACCAGUGGCGAAGGCGGCUUUCUGGACUGUAACUGACGUUGAGGCUCGAAAGUGUGGGUAGCAAACAGGAUUAGAUACCCUGGUAGUCCACACCGUAAACGAUGAGUGCUAGGUGUUUGAGGGUUUCCGCCCUUAAGUGCCGCAGCUAACGCAUUAAGCACUCCGCCUGGGGAGUACGACCGCAAGGUUGAAACUCAAAGGAAUUGACGGGGACCCGCACAAGCGGUGGAGCAUGUGGU